UACAGAGGUCUCAAGCGUUGUUCGGAUUCAUUGGGCGUAAAGGGUGCGUAGGCGGCGCGGUAAGUCGGGGUGUGAAAUCUCGGAGCUUAACUCCGAAACUGCAUUCGAUACUGCCGUGCUUGAGGACUGGAGAGGAGACUGGAAUUUACGGUGUAGCGGUGAAAUGCGUAGAUAUCGUAAGGAAGACCAGUGGCGAAGGCGGGUCUCUAGUACGGUACUGACGCUGAGACGCGAAAGCGUGGGGAGCGAACAGG
rnacentral:rRNA from 1 species